UGGACCAAGUGAAAUUUUCUCACCAUCUGCAUCUUCCACAUGAAGUAUUUCAUAGGCAAAAUAUUACUGCCUCAAAAUUCCCCUUCAAAUAUUCUGCUUUCAAAAUUUUCAAUUGCAAGUCAUCUCCAUUUGCAUUUCACAGGUCCCCAGGCUGGGCUUACGGUCCAGCAGCUGUUCGUUAUGGCACUGCUGCUGCAUGUGCAGCUUUCCUUCUUCGGCAGAGGGGGAGGAGGGAACUGGAGAGGACGUGGACUCAUGAAACCACUGCUCUCCUGCAAUCCUUUAUGCAGAGGACAAGCAGAGAAACCAACAGUUGCAGCGGAAACAAAUCUGCUCUUCCAGCAGCAAGGUAGCUGCUGUUACACAGUGUGCAGCAACAAGCAACAAGUAACUACCCUGCUCCACCAAGCGUCUGCAAUUUGAUAUGCCACUCUGGGAAAGACAUAAGAAGGUUUUGCUGAAAUCCAUCUGCCUGUGACUGCAAACGGAUCAUCAUUCCCCAUCCCUGUUCAGAUGGCAGGGGAACAAACUGCCUCGAGGUACAAAAGGCAAAUUACUUGAAACAUUUGGCUGCAGCACAGGGCAGUGUUCUGAGGAGAAAGAUGGAUGGUACGCUGACAUGAUAGGAAUACAACUUUCCUCCCCAAAAAAGCAGCUGGAGUGCCACUUCAGUUUGGCAACUUCAGUUUUUAAUUCAAAAGGCUUUUCCACUCCCAUGAUGGGGCACAAAAUAUUUUUCUCAUGAUAUUCCAUAACAUCAUUACUGCUUCCAUUUUUUAUAUGCAAAAAGGUAGGAAACAUUUUAAAAAAAGAAAAAGAUUCAAUUUUUUUUUUAAAAGUUUCUUUUUAAAUAUUAAAAAUGCAAAAGCUCUAUCAAAGUAUUUUCUUCCAAUUUUAGGGAACUCCCCCAGCAGAAAACAGUUCUGUAGAGUGCAGUAUGUUCUCCAUCUACACACCAGAGAAGUUUUACACCCACUCCCCAAAACAGCUUUCACUCCACAAGAGGCAAGAACUUUGCAGAAGGGGGAACAAAAAGGGGUGAUGUAUCAGCCCUGCCCAUUUUGCUGGACAGAUGAGAAAGGAGCUGUUUGAAGACAGGGCUGAUUCAAAGAACAAUCGUGCUCCCAGGCUGAGGGUGGAUCUGUCAGCUUUUGCACAAAGCAGAAGAAAAGGGAGAAAUGGAGAGACCUUCUUUCCUUGAAAUUCUUAGGCAGGCUAAGGGAAGCACCAGCCAUGAGAUUGUAACACUCAGCCCACAACCACAAGUACAGAAGGAAUUUCAGCAAACCUGCACCUGUACUUAAUAAGAUAAACCAAUGUCAUUUUUAUCAGACAUCAAUAUCAAUUGGGGAAAAAAAACACUACUUAAUUUUAAGCAAAACCUUUAUUUUAGUUCAAAGGCUUGUUUGUAUUAAAACCAGUUACUUCAAAAUCAAAUUCACAUAAAAUUCAACAUGUAAAUAAACUGAAGUUGUCAUUGGUCAUGAUCCAUUUCUGAAAGACAAGGGCUCCAAAUGGCAUUUUAAACAACUUGCAUGGCAACAGAUAAAACUGGGACAGCAGGAGCAUCUCUGAGUUUACAGACUGAGAAGUUGAACUGUCCCCACUUGCUUCAGUACAUUUUAAAACACUGCAAACCAGUGCCAUUUAAUGAUUUCUCUAUUUCCCAUAAAUUCAUUCAGAAAUGAUUGAAAAAAGCAUCCCAGUUUAAUCUGCUACUUCACAGGAGUAAAUUCUUUUGACUAGUUACAGGCACUGCUAUUUGCUGCCAGCAAGCAAAGUACUUGUCUUAAAACAUUUUCCUUACAACACCAACAAUCAAGCUACAUUAUAUACAGUUCAAUUGUACAAUUAUCUUUAAAAAAUGCCCAUGUACAAAAUAGAGGGUUAUUUUAUUUUUAAAAGAAAUCACAUGCUAGAUUUCAAUUACAUCAAUAUUUCAGAAGAAUUUAAAAAAAAAUUGAUAAAUAACAUUCCAAUUUAUUCGGAACAAUCCUGCAAGCAAGUGCAGAGGUACCUGCACUAUAUUUAAUAUUCUAAUAUGCUUUUUAGGGCAAUUUGUGCUAUAAACCUCACGUGCGAAGUAUGUGAAAAGCUCUUACUUGUGACAAUAGCUACUUAAUUAAUGCAAGAGUAUUUCAGUAAAAUUAUUCUACUUAUGAAGUAAAUACCAGAAGGGCAUCUCAUUUACAGCCAGUUAGACAAAGAACACAACUAGUGACCAGAACACAUACAUUAGUCAAAAAGUCAAAUAUAUACAAAAAUAUAUUAGAAAGUGGUUGAGUUUAACCACAGGCUCAUGUAAAAAAUGUUGUUUUAAAUAGCAAUAGCAAAAAAAUAGCUAUUUCUCUAUCUGCAACAGUACAAAAGGCAACACCUACAUAUGAGGUAGCAAUGCCAAAUUAAAAAAAAACCAACAACUUUGGAUUGAGGAGCAAUUCCUAUAUUUUCAUAGUAUAUCUGUCAAUACAAAUAUUUAAAUGAACACUUCAAUUGUUUCAAGAACUACAACAUUAAUUUACAAAAACCUUUUUUCAAUGAACAUUUUUUUUUUAAAUUACUGGAAAUUGGCUUAGUUACUGAUUUCUUCUGUUUCUAAAAAAGCUGUUGCAUUUUCAAACCCAAACACUGUACAGAAAAAACGUGGAGGCUUUAUUAUACACACUUGGUAAACGCUAUGGUACAUUAAGACAUAAUUUACAAAGAUCAGAAUAAGCUGACUGUGGUCAUUUGAUCCUUUUCUGUCUAAUGUGCAUUCCCUGCACACUUUUGCUACCCCCUGUUCAAUGCUAGAGGCAGGAUGAGGGUUCACUGCCCACUUCCACAGCUCUGCCCACAGCCAAAGCAAGUGUUUGUAUCAUCUACUUUCAGGAGUCUGAGCCAGAAGCAUGGUUUCCAUCCAGGGCCAGCGGCACUGCCAGACAGCAGCUUCAGAGCUCCCCUCGGUCUGUGCUGAAACUGCCUCAAGAAUGGGACGGGAGGAGGGGACAGCUGUGCCCCUUCCCUUCUCCCAGUUCUAUAUCCCUCAGUCCCUCCUGCAGGUGCAGGGCAGGAGUGGUCACCUGAGCCUCCCUGACCAAAAAAAAUCCCAUUAAUGAAAAGCCAGGAGGGGAACAACCACCUAGCUGAGCUGUGCCAGCUCCAGGCCCUGGGCUGCAGGCCCCUCAUGUGGGUCAAAUCCUCUGCUGCCAGCUCACUGACCAAAAAGACCCUGCUGCUCCUCCAAUUCAGGCAACUAAAUUGGACAUCUGAAGUCAGAUGGUACAAGUAACACCAAAAAAUGAACUGGAUGGAAUUUCAGCAUUUAUUGUAUUAAGAAAAUAAUAUACUUUACAUCACAGUGCUUAAUUAAAUGCAAUAAAAAAAAAAAUGUAAACUCGGAAUUCUAGAUAAAAUUUAGCUUGAAAAAUUAGGGCUCCAAGAGUUUUUAAAAUUCACAAUAUUUUAAGAAUUGAAGUCACAGCCAGUCAGUUCACAUAACUCAUGUAUUUAAGCUUACUUGUAAAUACCUUUGAUGCACUCCAAAGUUUGGCCCUUUUUUUUUUUUUUUUUUAAAA